UAGGGAAUCUUCCACAAUGGACGCAAGUCUGAUGGAGCAACGCCGCGUGAGUGAAGAAGGUUUUCGGACCGUAAAGCUCUGUUGUUGGUGAAGAAGGAUAGAGGUAGUAACUGGCCUUUAUUUGACGGUAAUCAACCAGAAAGUCACGGCUAACUACGUGCCAGCAGCCGCGGUAAUCGUAGGUGGCAAGCGUUGUCCGGAUUUAUUGGGCGUAAAGCGAGCGCAGGCGGAAGAAUAAGUCUGAUGUGAAAGCCCUCGGCUUAACCGAGGAAUUGCAUCGGAAACUGUUUUCUUGAGUGCAGAAGAGGAGAGUAGAACUCCAUGUGUAGCGGUGGAAUGCGUAGAUAUAUGGAAGAAUACCAGUGGCGAAGGCGGCUCUCUGGUCUGCAACUGACGCUGAGGCUCGAAAGCAUGGGUAGCGAACAGGAUUAGAUACCCUGGUAGUCCAUGCCGUAAACGAUGAGCGCUAAGUGUUGGGAGGCUUCCGCCUCUCAGUGCUGCAGCUAACGCAUUAAGCACUCCGCCUGGGGGAGUACGACCGCAAGGUUGAAACUC
rnacentral:rRNA from 1 species